UGGGGUGUGGCUCAGUGGUAGAGUGCUUGCCUAGCCCGCGUGAGGCACUGGGUUCGAGCCUCAGCACCACAU
rnacentral:tRNA from 1 species